rnacentral:rRNA from 1 species
UAGGGAAUCUUCCACAAUGGGCGGCAAGCCUGAUGGAGCAACACCGCGUGAGUGAAGAAGGGUUUCGGCUCGUAAAGCUCUGUUGUUAAAGAAGAACACGUAUGAGAGUAACUGUUCAUACGUUGACGGUAUUUAACCAGAAAGUCACGGCUAACUACGUGCCCG